rnacentral:rRNA from 1 species
CCUACGGGGGGCUGCAGUGGGGAAUAUUGCACAAUGGGGGAAACCCUGAUGCAGCGACGCCGCGUGAGUGAAGAAGUAAUUCGUUAUGUAAAGCUCUAUCAGCAGGGAAGAAAAUGACGGUACCUGAGUAAGAAGCCCCGGCUAACUACGUUCCAGCAGCCGCGGGAAUACGUAGGGGGCAAGCGUUAUCCGGAUGUACUGGGUGUAAAGGGAGCGUAGACGGCUGUGCAAGUCUGGAGUGAAAGGCGGGGGCUCAACCCCCGGACUGCUCUGGAAACUGUACGGCUGGAGUGCAGGAGAGGUAAGUGGAAUUCCUAGUGUAGCGGUGAAAUGCGUAGAUAUUAGGAGGAACACCAGUGGCGAAGGCGGCUUACUGGACUGUAACUGACGUUGAGGCUCGAAAGCGUGGGGAGCAAACAGGAUUAGAUACCCGAGUAGUG